rnacentral:rRNA from 1 species
UACGGAGGGUGCAAGCGUUAUCCGGAUUCACUGGGUUUAAAGGGUGCGUAGGCGGGUUGGUAAGUCCGUGGUGAAAUCUCCAAGCUUAACUUGGAAACUGCCGUGGAUACUAUCAAUCUUGAAUAUCGUGGAGGUAAGCGGAAUAUGUCAUGUAGCGGUGAAAUGCUUAGAUAUGACAUAGAACACCAAUUGCGUAGGCAGCUUACUACACGAUCAUUGACGCUGAGGCACGAAGGCCAGGGGAGCAAACGGG